GAUAUAGCGGUUGCUAUCAUUAUAGCAUUUAGGGGUGUCGCUAGCCCAAAUUGUCAGGCAUUUGGCAAUUUAUUGUAUUGGCAAUCGGGAAAUUGUUUUUGUGGCCAGCAUGAUUUGAAUUGGAAAGGAAGGGGAAAAAACCGAAAUAUACAAGUUUUUGUUGCCCCUCCCCUUCUCAGAGUAGGUAUGUGUUGUUUUAUAGUGUAAAUAACAAGUUUUGAUAUUGCAAUCAAAC